UGAGGAUACGGUUAACGGAGCGAAAGCGACGUUCAACCGCAAAACAAGCAGAGGGGGCUUAGUGGUGGGGUGACUGCGUACCUUUUGUAUAAUGGGUCAGCGACUUAUAUUCUGUAGCAAGGUUAACCGAAUAGGGGAGCCGGAGGGAAACCGAGUCUUAAUUGGGCGUUAAGUUGCAGGGUAUAGACCCGAAACCCGGUGAUCUAGCCAUGGGCAGGUUGAAGGUUGGGUAACACUAACUGGAGGACCGAACCGACUAAUGUUGAAAAAUUAGCGGAUGACCUGUGGCUGGGGGUGAAAGGCCAAUCAAACCGGGAGAUAGCUGGUUCUCCCCGAAAGCUAUUUAGGUAGCGCCUCGUGAAUUCAUCUCCGGGGGUAGAGCACUGUUUCGGCUAGGGGGCCAUCCCGGCUUACCAACCCGAUGCAAACUGCGAAUACCGGAGAAUGUUAUCACGGGAGACACACGGCGGGUGCUAACGUCCGUCGUGAAGAGGGAAACAACCCAGACCGCCAGCUAAGGUCCCAAAGUCAUGGUUAAGUGGGAAACGAUGUGGGAAGGCCCAGACAGCCAGGAUGUUGGCUUAGAAGCAGCCAUCAUUUAAAGAAAGCGUAAUAGCUCACUGGUCGAGUCGGCCUGCGCGGAAGAUGUAACGGGGCUAAACCAUGCACCGAAGCUGCGGCAGCGAACGUAUCACCCAAGACAACUUUACGGAGUUGACGAUUGACGGAGCGAAGCGACGUCAAAGCGUUCAUUAAAGUCGAGUUGGCUUAGGGAUACGUUCGUUGGGUAGGGGAGCGUUCUGUAAGCCUGUGAAGGUGUGUCGUGAGGCAUGCUGGAGGUAUCAGAAGUGCGAAUGCUGACAUAAGUAACGAUAAAGCGGGUGAAAAGCCCGCUCGCCGGAAGACCAAGGGUUCCUGUCCAACGUUAAUCGGGGCAGGGUGAGUCGACCCCUAAGGCGAGGCCGAAAGGCGUAGUCGAUGGGAAACGGGUUAAUAUUCCCGUACUUGGUGUUACUGCGAAGGGGGGACGGAGAAGGCUAUGUUGGCCGGGCGACGGUUGUCCCGGUUUAAGCGUGUAGGUGUGUGUUCCAGGUAAAUCCGGUUCACUUUAACACUGAGGCGUGACGACGAGGCACUACGGUGCUGAAGCAACAAAUGCCCUGCUUCCAGGAAAAGCCUCUAAGCAUCAGGUAACACGAAAUCGUACCCCAAACCGACACAGGUGGUCAGGUAGAGAAUACCAAGGCGCUUGAGAGAACUCGGGUGAAGGAACUAGGCAAAAUGGUGCCGUAACUUCGGGAGAAGGCACGCUGACACGUAGGUGAAGUGAUUUACUCAUGGAGCUGAAGUCAGUCGAAGAUACCAGCUGGCUGCAACUGUUUAUUAAAAACACAGCACUGUGCAAACACGAAAGUGGACGUAUACGGUGUGACGCCUGCCCGGUGCCGGAAGGUUAAUUGAUGGGGUCAGCGCAAGCGAAGCUCCUGAUCGAAGCCCCGGUAAACGGCGGCCGUAACUAUAACGGUCCUAAGGUAGCGAAAUUCCUUGUCGGGUAAGUUCCGACCUGCACGAAUGGCGUAAUGAUGGCCAGGCUGUCUCCACCCGAGACUCAGUGAAAUUGAACUCGCUGUGAAGAUGCAGUGUACCCGCGGCAAGACGGAAAGACCCCGUGAACCUUUACUAUAGCUUGACACUGAACAUUGAGCCUUGAUGUGUAGGAUAGGUGGGAGGCUUUGAAGUGUGGACGCCAGUCUGCAUGGAGCCGACCUUGAAAUACCACCCUUUAAUGUUUGAUGUUCUAACGUGGACCCGUAAUCCGGGUUGCGGACAGUGUCUGGUGGGUAGUUUGACUGGGGCGGUCUCCUCCUAAAGAGUAACGGAGGAGCACGAAGGUUGGCUAAUCCUGGUCGGACAUCAGGAGGUUAGUGCAAUGGCAUAAGCCAGCUUGACUGCGAGCGUGACGGCGCGAGCAGGUGCGAAAGCAGGUCAUAGUGAUCCGGUGGUUCUGAAUGGAAGGGCCAUCGCUCAACGGAUAAAAGGUACUCCGGGGAUAACAGGCUGAUACCGCCCAAGAGUUCAUAUCGACGGCGGUGUUUGGCACCUCGAUGUCGGCUCAUCACAUCCUGGGGCUGAAGUAGGUCCCAAGGGUAUGGCUGUUCGCCAUUUAAAGUGGUACGCGAGCUGGGUUUAGAACGUCGUGAGACAGUUCGGUCCCUAUCUGCCGUGGGCGCUGGAGAACUGAGGGGGGCUGCUCCUAGUACGAGAGGACCGGAGUGGACGCAUCACUGGUGUUCGGGUUGUCAUGCCAAUGGCACUGCCCGGUAGCUAAAUGCGGAAGAGAUAAGUGCUGAAAGCAUCUAAGCACGAAACUUGCCCCGA
rnacentral:rRNA from 1 species